UUAAAUCUUCGGGGCAGGGUGUAAUUCCCGACCGACGGUAAGCAACAUGAUGUUGUAAGUCCGUGACCCACUUUCUAAGUGGUUGAUCUGGUGUAAUUCCAGAACCGACAGUAAAGUCUGGAUGGGAGAAGAUUAAG
rnacentral:ncRNA from 2 species